GAGGCGGCGAGCGGCCCGCGCGACACGCGCCGGCCCGACCCUAUGCGGUGACUCGCGCGGCGCAGUCGCCUCCUGCCCCGCCGGCGGGGCCCGGGCUCCCGCGGCGGCAUGUUCUCCCGAAGGAGCCACGGGGAUGUGAAGAAGUCCACCCAGAAGGUGCUGGACCCCAAGAAGGACGUGCUGACCCGCCUGAAGCACCUGCGGGCGCUGCUGGAUAACGUGGAUGCAAGUGAUCUUAAGCAGUUUUUUGAAACCAACUAUUCUCAAAUAUAUUUCAUCUUCUAUGAAAAUUUUAUAACACUGGAAAAUAGUUUGAAAUUAAAAGGGAAUAAGUCACAGAGGGAGGAGCUGGACUCCAUCCUCUUUCUUUUUGAAAAAAUACUGCAGUUUCUACCUGAACGAAUUUUCUUUCGAUGGCAUUACCAGAGUAUAGGCUCAACUUUAAAGAAGCUUCUACACACUGGAAAUUCUAUUAAGAUAAGAUGUGAAGGAAUCAGGCUGUUUCUUCUGUGGCUUCAAGCGCUGCAGACGAACUGUGCGGAAGAGCAGGUGCUGAUCUUUGCCUGCCUGGUGCCCGGCUUCCCAGCGAUCAUGUCAUCCAGGGGGCCGUGUACCCUGGAGACGCUCCUCAGUCCCAGCCCUGGUGUCGCUGAUGCAAAGGUAUAUCCAGAAGAAAUCACUCCGCUCGUGCCAGCCGUGUCAGGGGAGAAGAUUGCAGAGGACCAGACGUGCUUUUUUCUUCAGCUGCUGUUGAAAUAUAUGGUUAUUCAGGCUGCAAGCCUGGAGUGGAAGCAUAAGGAGAAUCAAGAGACUGGUUUUAAAUUCCUUUUCACGUUGUUUCGAAAGUAUUACCUUCCUCAUUUAUUUCCAUCGUUUACCAAGUUAACGAACAUCUACAAGCCUGUCCUUGAUGUCCCCCACCUGAGACCAAAGCCCGUGUACAUCACGACAACGCGAGACAAUGAAAACGUUUACAGCACAAAGAUUCCGUACAUGGCAGCUCGUGUUGUUUUUAUUAAGUGGAUCGUAACUUUCUUUUUGGAAAAAAAGUAUCUAUCCACAGCACAAAACACUAAAAAUGGAGUUGAUGUAUUGCCUAAAAUCAUACAGACUGUCGGGGGUGGAGCCACAGUGCAAGACCGGGCACCCGAGCUGGACGGUGGGGCAGCCGAGCCGGACAGAAGCCACUCCAACAGCAGCACCUUGUCGGACCGGAGGCUCAGCAGCUCGAGCCUCUGCAGCGUCGAGGAGGAGCACCGUGCCGUGUACGAGAUGGUGCAGCGCAUCCUGCUGUCCACGCGUGGCUACGUCAACUUCGUGAACGAAGUGUUCCGUCAGGCAUUUUUGUUGCCUUCCUGUGACAUAGCUGUCACCAGAAAAGUAGUUCAGGUGUACAGAAAGUGGAUCCUCCAGGAAAAACCUGUGUUCAUGGAGGAACCAGACAUAAAAGAAGUUGCCCAAGAAGAUGCUGAAAAAUUAGGAUUUCCGGAAACCGAUGCCAAGGAGACCUCAUCUGAAAGUUCUGGUCACAAGCGAUCUUCCAGUUGGGGACGAACGUACUCUUUCACGAGUGCCGUGAGCAGAGGGUGUGUGACGGAAGAGGAAAAUCAGAACGUGAAAGCAGGGGCCCAGGCAAUGCUGCAGGUAUUUUUGACAAAUGCUGCAAACGUCUUUUUGCUGGAACCCUGUGCUGAAGUUCCCAUGCUCUUAAAAGAGCAAGUUGAUGCUUGUAAAGCUGUUUUGAUUAUUUUUAGGCGCAUGAUAAUGGAGCUUACAAUGAAUAAAAAGACAUGGGAACAGAUGCUGCAGAUACUACUCAGGAUAACAGAAGCCGUCAUGCAGAAGCCAAAGGAUAAACAAGUGAAGGACUUGUUUGCCCAGAGCUUGGCAGGCUUGCUAUUUAGGACGCUCAUGGUGGCCUGGAUCCGAGCAAACCUCUGCGUGCCCAUUUCCCGGGAGCUGUGGGAUGACUUUCUGGGCGUGCUGUCCUCCCGCACGGAGUGGGAGGAGCUCAUAAACGAGUGGGCCAGCAUCAUGGACUCCUUGACGGCAGUGCUCGCCAGGACCGUGUACGGGGUCGAGAUGACCAACCUGCCCCUGGACAAAUUAAGUGAACAAAAAGAGAAGAAGCAGCGAGGCAAAGGCUGUGUUCCAGAUUCUCAGAAAGGAACCACCGUGGGGAGAUCCUUUUCCCUGAGCUGGCGGAGCCACCCCGAAAUGACCGAGCCCAUGCGCUUUCGGAGCGCCACCACGUCCGGGGCCCCGGGAGUGGAGAAGGCGAGAAACAUCGUCCGCCAGAAAGCAACCGAAGUGGAGGAGUGCCCGCAGCAGGAAAGUGCACCUGCGGCGGAGCCGGGGGCCCAGGCGGCGGACGAGCAGCAACGAAUGGUUCGGAGCAGCAGCUCCCCUGACGUCACGGAGCCACUGGGUGCAGAUGCCCCGCCAGGUCAGAAUGUAGGAGAUACACAGAGUGUGAGUUCUUCAGAGCCCAGGCCUGUUCAGGAGAGCAAAGGACACACGAAGAAAGAACACGAUGGGAUCACAAUCUCAGUUCGAAGAAGCAGCAGCCCUGCAGAGUUGGAUUUAAAAGAUGAUUUGCCGCAGACGCAAGGAAAAUGUCGGGAAAGACAGAAGAGUGACAGUGUUGGCAGUGACACAGGUCUGGGCUAUGGCACUGACACAGAGCUGUCCUUAAGCCCGUGGCAGACCUACGAGGAAGACCCGGACCUGAACACUCCCACGGAUGCUGUGACCGACUCUGACGCCCGCCACUGGCUACAGCUGAGUCCUACGGAUGCUUCACACGUAACAGACAGCAGCGAGUGCCUCGCAGACGACUGCAGCAUCAUUGCUGGAGGGACCCUCACUGGGUGGCACCCAGACUCGGCCGCUGUGCUCUGGCGGAGGGUCUUGGGAAUCCUUGGAGAUGUGAAUAAUAUCCAGUCACCCAAGAUCCACGCCAGGGUUUUUGGCUAUCUCUAUGAACUCUGGUACAAACUAGCAAAGAUACGGGAUAACCUAGCAAUAAGCCUGGAUAACCAGUCCUCCCCAUCUCCUCCUGCCUUGAUCCCACCACUCAGAAUGUUUGCAUCAUGGCUAUUUAAGGCGACGACGUUGCCAAACGAGUAUAAGGAAGGCAAACUCCAAGCCUACAAGCUGAUCUGUGCCAUGAUGACCAGACGCCAGGACGUCCUGCCCAACUCGGACUUCCUGGUGCAUUUUUACCUUGUCAUGCACCUGGGGCUGACCAGCGAGGACCAGGACAUCUUAAACACCAUCGUAAGGCACUGUCCGCCCCGCUUCUUCUCCCUGGGUUUGCCCGGCUUCUCCAUGCUGAUGGGGGACUUCAUCACGGCCGCCGCCAGGGUCCUCAGCGCAGACAUGCUGGCGGCCCCUCGUUCGGAAGCCCUCACCAUUCUGGGGUCUCUGGUCUGCUUUCCGAAUACCUACCGCGAGGUCCCUCUGCUGCAGUCACUGCCGGAUGUCACCGAAGUCGUCACAGGAACUGAUGAUGUCAAGCAUUACCUCAUAAGUAUUUUACUGAAGAAUGCCACCGAGGAGCCAAAUGAGCAUGCAAGAUGCAUUGCCAUUUGCUCCCUCGGGGUCUGGAUAUGUGAAGAGCUAGCACAGUGUAUGAGCCAUCCUCAGCUGAAAGAGGCCGUCAACGUGAUAGGCGUCACUUUGAAGUUUCCCAACAAAGUCGUGGCCCAGGUGGCUUGCGAUGUUCUUCAGUUGCUGGUUUCCUACUGGGAAAAGCUUCAGAUAUUCGAACCCUCUCUGCCUCGGAAAAUUGCCGAAAUCCUCGUGGCCACAAUUGCUUUUCUUUUACCGAGUGCAGAGUAUUCCUCAGUGGAAACAGAUAAGAAGCUCAUCGUGUCCUUGCUGCUCUGCCUCCUGGACUGGUGCAUGGCCCUGCCACUGAGCGCCCUUCUCCACCCCGUGGCUACGGCAGCCAUGGAGGAGCAGGCCUCGUCCCGAGCGCCACUGCUGGAUUACGUCUACAGGGUUCUGCACUGCUGUGUUUGUGGCUCGAGCACGUACACCCAACAGAGCCACUACACCCUGACCCUGGCUGACCUGUCGUCCACGGAUUACGACCCCUUCCUGCCACUGGCAAACGUGAAGAGUUCUGAGCCGGCCCAGCAUCAUUCAUCAGCAGAACUGGGCAACCUGCUUACUGUCGAAGAGGAGCGGAGGCGGCGGAGCCUGGAGCUGAUCCCGCUGACGGCCCGCAUGGUGAUGGCGCAUCUGGUCAACCACCUGGGCCACUUCCCGCUCUGCGGGGGCCCCGCCGCGCUGCACAGCCUGGUCAGCGAGAACCACGACAACGCGCACGCGGACGCCGCGGAGCUGUCCCCCGAGGUCUUCAGGAGCCCCAACCUGCAGCUGUUCGUGUUUAACGACAGCACCCUCAUCUCCUGCCUUCAGACGCCGGCCCAGGAACCUGCAGACGGGUCUCCAUCGGGCGCCCUCUCGGACGUGAGAGUGAUCGUGAGGGACAUCUCAGGGAAGUACUCGUGGGACGGGAAGGUGCUCUACGGGCCCCUGGCCGGCUGCCCAGCCCCCCAGGGCAGAUGUCCCUCUUCUCUAGUUUCGGGCUGGCCCCGCCCACCGUCUGGACCUCAGAAGGACCUUUCCCAGACGGACGAGGGAGAGGACGUCCUGGACAAGUUACUUGAAAACAUCGGCCACACAAGCCCAGAAUGCCUUUUGCCAUCACAGCUGAACCUCAAUGAGCCUUCCCCACCCCCGUGUGGAAUGAACCGCGACCAGGAGAAGGAAAUCAUCCAGGCCAUCCUGCGGCAGAGCGCCCAGGAGGACGCCUAUGUCCAGAGGUGCCACUCAGACCCGGCCCUGAGGGUUGCCAGCCAGGAGCAGCCGUUCCCUGUGGAGCCCCGGGGAGCCUUCUACUUCUGCAGGUUGUUGCUGGACGACUUGGGGAUGAAUUCCUGGGACAGGAGGAAGAAUUUCCAUCUGCUGAAGAAAAAUUCAAAAUUAUUGAGAGAGCUAAAACACCUGGACUCCCGACAGUGCCGUGAAACGCACAAAAUCGCCGUGUUUUACAUUGCCGAAGGUCAAGAGGACAAGUGUUCGAUCCUUUCCAAUGAAAGAGGAAGCCAAGCAUACGAAGACUUCGUUGCCGGACUUGGAUGGGAGGUGGACCUGUCCACGCACUGCGGGUUCAUGGGUGGACUUCAGCGCAAUGGCACCACAGGCCAGACGGCCCCCUACUAUGCCACCUCGACCGUGGAAGUGAUUUUCCAUGUCUCAACUCGGAUGCCAUCAGACUCAGAUGACUCUCUCACCAAAAAGCUCCGUCACCUGGGGAAUGACGAGGUCCACAUCGUCUGGUCUGAACACUCCAGGGACUACCGCAGGGGGAUUAUCCCCACCGCCUUUGGAGACGUUUCAAUCAUCAUCUACCCUAUGAAGAAUCACAUGUUCUUUAUCGCGAUAACCAAGAAACCCGAGGUUCCAUUUUUUGGGCCCCUGUUUGAUGGAGCCAUCGUGAGUGGGAAGCUGCUGCCAAGCCUUAUCUGUGCCACGUGCAUCAACGCCAGCAGGGCUGUGAAGUGCCUCAUCCCCCUGUACCAGAGCUUCUACGAGGAGCGGGCUCUGUAUCUGGAAGCAAUAAUUCAGAACCACCGCGAAGUCAUGACGUUUGAGGAUUUCGCAGCCCAGGUCUUCUCUCCGUCUCCCAGCUACUCCGUGACUGGAACCGAUGCGGCCAGGAGCACUUCCUCCUCCUCACCAUGGGCCAGAUUGUAGAGGCUCCAGGAUUUAGAGCAAGUGGGAGGACAUCCCUCACCAGUUCCAUCAGAUUCUGCCGCUGUUAAUGUGGGUCGUAUCUGGAGCUUAAACCAGAUUAGUCUGAGUUGGGCUCAGGCUGCCUCUGUGGCUUCCCACAAAACGGCUUCUGCGCUCAGGAUGGCUUGGGCACCCUCUGGGAAAGGUGUAGAGUGUUCACCUGCCUUGUCAAAAAGACUUUUUUCCUACAAUAAAGACAUUAAGUUCCCAGAAGCUGUUGGAAGACUGGGCCUGGAGUCACGGGGUCAUCCUGGUGGCCGACACAGUCCCCUCGCAAGGCUGCAGGUGUGUCUCACUCGGUCCCAAAGUGAACCUGGUGGGUGGGUGCUGUUCAGACUGCUUUAUGGCCCACCAGUCUUCACCCAGGGAGGGAGCUACACCUAGCUGUCACCUGCGGGACCCCUACGCCAGGCACAGGGACAAAAAUUUGGGGUAUCAUAGGCCGUCCUGCAGUGACGCCACCAAGGCCAUCUGCUUGACCGUAAGCCACCAAAUCCAUCCCCAGAAAGAGCAUGAGGCAGGACGGUGUUCCCCAUUCAGUGGGGAUGUCACUCACAGACUCAUCCAGGAUGUCCCCAUUUUCUCUCCCCUCCUCCCUCCCUGAAAAGUCCUAUGAGUCAGGUUUUGAGCCAUAGCACUUCUUAGGCAUUCGCCGUCCUCAUAAAUUUGCUGGAACCAGCCAAGGUCAUCAUAGAACAUGGAGCAGGAAGGGGCUUCAGGAGACCCCUGUCUGAUUCCACACGUGGUUCUAAGAAGCCACAGACCAGCUUUGAGGGGUGACCCAGGGCCAUAGCCUCAGCCCCAUCCCUCCACCGCCCCCCGCCCCACAGUGCAGUCGGUGCACUUGUGUCAGCUACCAGCAGCCAAGGCUCAGGUGGUGAGCAACUUCCCGCACGGGGUAGGCUGUCACCUAACAGUGGUCAUCAGUGACGCUGGUCACAGGUCCUGAGCAGCCCAUGAGCAGGGAGUUUGUGGGUCUAGACAAACUCUGCAGCCUCUCUGGGAGGGGACAAGCAGACACGGUCUCAGAGUCCCUUCAGCAAAGCCGGCUCAGGAAAGCCCUCCCCCUCAUGGCUGCCCCCCCCCUCCAGAUUUUCUUCGUGCCAGAGGAAUGGCUUUUGGGAAAGACACAAGUAGGACUGGCGACCCAGCCACAGGAACUGAGGACACCUCACUUGCCGGGUGAUGCUCUGGCUUCAGGUCAUUCCUGUCAUGGUGGCGGUUCCUGCCUUCAUUGGCCAGUGCGCUCGUGGGACUGUGACAGUCUGUGGGGUCACCUAGCAGUUGCAGCUAUAGCAUCCUUUAACCAUCCUCCUGGCACAGACGAGGAAACUGAAGCCCCGGAAUAUGGCACUUACUUCAUUCCGUCAACAGACGUGCAGCAGACGGGUCCACAUGCAGGCGGGUCAGGCUCAAGCCUCACUUCUGACAUUCUGGGGUGCUGGGAAUGCAGUGGGGUCCGGGCCCCGAGCCCUGGAGUGAAGGGAGGAAGCAGAUCCCCAACAAGCCCCGGGCUGCCCUUCGCAUCCCCAGCUUUGCAAACUGCCCUCCUCGGCGCCUGAGACGCCCCGGCUGCCCUUGCUCCCAUGCUCAGAUGCCGCAGUCCUCCUGUCCUAUCUUGCAAGACAUGGACCAGAACCUUCCUUCUGGAGCCGCCUCCCCAGCUACAGAUUAAAAUACACAAAGGCCUCGCUGCAAUAUUUGAACAAGGGCCCUGAGCGCUUUCCCCACGGCGCCUCUUGGGGAGGAGAAGAUGGAUGAGACCCCCGCUUCCCCAACCAAGCCCCCAAACCCAGACUCCGGUCACGGUGGCCCAGCUGGUGCCUCAGCGAGUCCAAAGCUACAGAGGAAGCCCCCAAAUGCGGCGGAGCAGACUUUCAAACCGGUGGCGGUGAUAUCUCAGGAGCCUGGGCUUCGAAAGAAGAAAAAGUCGCCACCCACCAGAGAUGAGCCGGCUGUCACGCAGUGCCUUUGGGGCUGCAGGCGCAGAGGGAACACGAGCUGGUUCCGGGCUUUCCUGGGGUGGGGGCAAGGUGAGCACCUGGCUCUGGACCCAGGGCUUCCUCUCACCUGUAAACCCGUCGUGUUUCACUGGGGCUGCAGAAUGCCUGUCAGCCUGUUGGAGGAGCGUUCCCCGCAUUGAUCCCACUCGCUCUUCUGUUAAGACUGAUGGUUUUACAAACUUCAUCAUCCCAGAGAUUGGCUUUCCGUCAGGUCAGUAGCCCAGGAGAAGUUUCACCACCUUUGCUGAAUGUUUCCCACCUGGUUCCCAGAUGCCCGCUACCUGGGGAGAGGUUUCCUGACCUUGACCCUAACACUGCUGGAGGCCUCCAGGGGGUGAGAGGAAAGCUUCCAUCCACAAUGCACAGGUGAUUCUAGAAACACAGGGUCCUGUCCUUCGAAAGUUCCGGUCGGUCAGGAAGCCUCCCGGUGGCGGUGCCUCAUUGCCCUACCCCUCACACAGAGCUUUAGGGUGACAUCCUCAGCAAGGGGUUUGUUCCCCCCACUUUUUACCCAUUUUGCUCCAAGGAAGGCCUAUUGUGCCUGUUUGAAAAAAAAAAAAAAAAAGCUGGGGUCAGCGAGCGUUGGGCAAGGGCUCUCUGCUAGUCACCUAGGCUCUUGCGCCAUCUCCAGAGCUAGCCCUGGGCUCAGAACCGGGGAGCCCCUGGCUAAGGGCCCAGAAAGGUCCCAGCGCAGGUGCUUUCCUGCCCCCGCCCCCCUGCUCUUGCACCCAUCUCUGGGCACACCCAGCCUGCCUUGGCCGCCUUCUGAGCCCACUCUCCUAGGCAAAGCUGCUGUCCUCCCCAAAUGUCACUGUCCUAUGGGUUUGGCUAGUCCCUGAUCUUUGCAGGAGAAGGGGGUGGACCCAGGAGCCAUCCUUGCUUUGGGGACAGUGGGACCGGAUUGAGAAAGGCACUCCUAUUAGGAGGGGACUUGGGAUUCUCAAGAGACUUGGUUUUUCUGCUUUCCAGGGGCUCAGAGGUGGGGCUUGAGGCCAGGCCCACAGCCGGGGGCAGCUGGAGUGCCAUCUGAACCCCAGAGAACUGGGGACAGACAAAAGCAGCACUUGGGGCUGUCCUGUAAAUAGGCCCAAUUUGUUCACUUACUGGGGCUUAAUGGCAACAUAAAGGGUGACUGGAAGUGACAGCCUUUUUGAUGGUGUCAGCAAAUGUCACAAUUCUUAUCUUCCCCUGGCAUCCCUUCCCCAGCUUGGAGCUAUUUGGGCUUUCUGGUUGGCGCGGUUCAGCCCCCAUGGCUCAGACUCACACUCUUACCGCUGUCCCACUUGAUAUUACAAAGUUGCCAGCCCUCGCUCCUGCAGGAAGGGGCAUCGCUCGUCCCUGGGCUCCCCAGUCCCACGUGAGCUCUGAUUGCAGCUUCCAGGAGAACAUUUCGGCCUCAACCCCUGUUGCAGAAUUCUUGGAUUUAGUCAAGAGUCUUGUAAUCAUGUUGACUUCCCCUGGACCUGUGCUCCAAGAGUCCCUUUUCUCUCCAGGAACCGGUCCUCCUGACCUGGAGUAGGAAGUGCAGUUGUAGGUAGCAGGUAAGCAGCCCUUUCUCAACGGCUUGACAACCCCACGACCCCAGGUGACACCAGCAGUUUUACGGCUCUUCUCAGUAACAGUUUUGGUUUGGAGGUUUGGAAUCAGGGAACAGGGGAUCUGAGCCAGGUUUGUUUGCAAUCAUGUGGACUUGAAUCAUUUUUGCUAUUUGGGGUGGAAAAUUGAAAUGAUCAAGUGUUUGGUUUUUUUUUUUUUUUUUUUAACUUAGAAAAGCAAAUAUUGUGCUUUUGUAAUAAAUGCCUUUCAGCAAAAUUGCCAAGGGUCACUUUUCCGGUGGGGACCCACCUGAGCCACAGUGCUGAGUUGUCACAUUAGUAGGUCAGCCAUCUGUAAACUGAAGUGGCCCUAAUUAGCCCAAAAUGGUUAAGACCUGCCAGCCUCCAGGCAGGACGAGGACGGCCCCCUCACGUCUCGGCACGCUGAUUUCCAUUGGCAGCAAAAUGCUGCUCUGCAGUCUUCCUGCAUAGGGUACUUAAAAAAAAUAUUAGCAAUUCCACAAAUGACGACAUUUUAAAUAGCACCACCUCACGCAGACAGCAGGGAGGACAUUUAGCUUGGGUAGGUGACCGUCACAGUGUCUUCUUAGGUCAAGGCUGCAGUUCCCAAGAGCCACAGCGAAGGAAUGGGCUUCAGCCUUGACUUUGGGGAGGGGCUGACCAAUCAGACCCCAAGCCUUACCCCCAAGAGUCUGCGGAUCUGUAGACAAGGCACAUCACGUCUUCCCAACCUUCCUCAGGUGUGAACACCCGCGCCUUGUUUACUGUCACAUUUGUGUCCUCUGGAGUUUGAGGGAGGCUGUCACGCUUACUGUGAUGUCUUACACAUAAUUGUAACCUUAUAGCUGCUGGAGGGAAUGUCCACAUUCGAAGGCAAAGCCAACCACAUGUUAGUUGCACUCAGUACCUAUGUAUGACAGACACAUUAAGUGAAUGUUUUCAGGUCAACAAUAUUUAGUACAUGUAAAUAAGGACAAAAUUUGAUAAAUACGGUAAAUUAAGUUAUAGCGUGUCAUUUGAUUUUUACUUUGCUCUCUCUCGUUAUUUAAUUUUCCUGAUGCUCUGCAUCAGGGCUUGUGCCUAGGCAGUAGAGACCUGGUCUAUAACCCACUUUGCAGGUCGUGUGCACCCCGAUGCGCCGAUGGAAGGGGCUCAUGCCCAGGGACACCCAUGGCUGCUGACGGCCACUGCCUGGCUCUCCAAUUUGCCCUCUUUCUCUCUUUAAUUCUGAUUUACUGUGACAACCUAAUAAAGUAGAAACACAGCA